GAUGAAGAACGUAGCGAAAUGCGAUAAGUAAUGUGAAUUGCAGAAUUCAGUGAAUCAUCGAAUCUUUGAACGCACCUUGCACCCUUUGGUAUUCCGAAGGGUAUGCUCGUUUGAGUGUCAUUGUACUCUCACACUUCCGAUCGUUUGGAUCGGGAGCGGUGGACUUGGGUGUUGCUGCUUUACUGUGGCUCACCUUAAAUGCAUUAGUGCACCUUUCGGUUGGACAUAGUACGGCGUGAUAAGUGUCUUCGCCGGCACCUCACAGAGGGUGGCUGAUCGGGAGCUCUGUGCUUCAAACCGUCCUCGGAAAACAGCUGACAACUUGACCUCAAAUCGAGUAGGACUACCCGCUGAACUUAAGCAUAUCAUAAGCGGGGA
rnacentral:misc_RNA from 1 species